AGUGAACGCUGGCGGUAGGCCUAACACAUGCAAGUCGAACGGCAGCACAGUAAGAGCUUGCUCUUACGGGUGGCGAGUGGCGGACGGGUGAGGAAUACAUCGGAAUCUACUUUUUCGUGGGGGAUAACGUAGGGAAACUUACGCUAAUACCGCAUACGACCUACGGGUGAAAGCAGGGGAUCUUCGGACCUUGCGCGAUUGAAUGAGCCGAUGUCGGAUUAGCUAGUUGGCGGGGUAAAGGCCCACCAAGGCGACGAUCCGUAGCUGGUCUGAGAGGAUGAUCAGCCACACUGGAACUGAGACACGGUCCAGACUCCUACGGGAGGCAGCAGUGGGGAAUAUUGGACAAAGGGCGCAAGCCUGAUCCAGCCAUACCGCGUGGGUGAAGAAGGCCUUCGGGUUGUAAAGCCCUUUUGUUGGGAAAGAAAAGCAGCAGGUUAAUACCCCGCUGUUCUGACGGUACCCAAAGAAUAAGCACCGACUAACUUCGUG
rnacentral:rRNA from 1 species